GUCUAACGUGUCUUAUCCUCAUAGGUAGUCUAACGUGUCUUACCCUCGUAGGUGAGGAGGUAGUCUAACAUGUCUUAUCCUCAUAGGUAGUCUAACGUGUCUUAUCCUCAUAGGUAGUCUAACGUGUCUUAUCCUCAUAGGUAAUCUAACGUGUCUUACCCUCGUAGGUGAGGAGGUAGUCUAACAUGUCUUAUCCUCAUAGGUAGUCUAACAUGUCUUAUCCUCAUAGGUAGUCUAACAUGUCUUAUCCUCAUAGGUAGUCUAACGUGUCUUAUCCUCGUAGGUGAGGAGGUAGUCUAACGUGUCUUACCCUCGUAGGUGAGGAGGUAGUCUAACGUGUCUUACCCUCGUAGGUGAGGAGGUAGUCUAACGUGUCUUACCCUC